AGCUGACCUCAAACAGUCUCAACCACUUAUCCCAUGCUAUAAAGAUCAUCAACGGAAGUUUGGUGAAGACUACGGAUCAUGCCAAGCAGGAAUAUCCAACUUUCUGACUGAGGACUUGAUAAUAAUGGGAGCCCCUGGGACAUCGUACUGGACUGGGUCUGUCCUGGUCUACAACACCUCCAGCAGGGUCCUGUCUGCCUAUGUGGAUGACGACAGCACUGUCCUCUAUGGCAGUUACCUGGGCUACUCGGUUGGCGCUGGCCACUUCUUUCACCCUGACUCCACAGAGAUCGUUGGAGGUGCGCCCCAACACAGGCAGACUGGUAAAGUAAGAGUUCAUUCAAUUCCUGUUUUUCCUUUUACCCUC